GACGAACGCUGGCGGCGUGCUUAACACAUGCAAGUCGAACGAAGUGGCGAACGUGUGAGUAACGCGUAAUCAACCUGCCCUUCAGAGGGGGACACUAGUUGGAAACGUCUGCUAAUCCCCCAUACUGAAGGAGGGGAUUGCGUCUGAUUAGCUAGUUGGAGGGGUAACGGCCCACCAAGGCGAUGAUCAGUAGCCGGGCUGAGAGGAUGAACGGCCACAAUGGGACUGGGAAACGGCCCAGACUCCUGCGGGAGGCAGCAAUGGGGAAUCUGCCGCAAUGGACGAAAGUCUGACGGAGCAACGCCGCGUGAGUGAUGACGGCCUUCGGGUUGUAAAGCUCUGUUAAUCGGGACGCGGUACCGGAAUAGAAAGCCACGGCUAACUACGUGCCAGCAGCCGCGGUAAUAG
rnacentral:rRNA from 1 species